rnacentral:rRNA from 1 species
UACGUAGGGGGCCAGCGUUGUCCGGAAUCAUUGGGCGUAAAGCGCGCGUAGGCGGCCAGAUAAGUCCGGUGUGAAAGUCAAAGGCUCAACCUUUGAAUGCCGCUGGAAACUGUCUGGCUUGAGUCCGGGAGGGGCGAGUGGAAUUCCUGGUGUAGCGGUGAAAUGCGCAGAUAUCAGGAGGAACACCGGUGGCGAAGGCGCCACUCUGGGUCGGUACUGACGCUGAGGUGCGAAAGCGUGGGGAGCAAACAGG